rnacentral:antisense_RNA from 16 species
CUUGAUCGAGCCCAGCCACAGCGGCUGUUCAGGCUCCCGGUCCUGCCCGUAAGUGGCGAGCAGUGCCUGGGCCUC